AGCUUUGCGCAGAGGCGAUAUCGUAACCAAUGAGGUUUAUCCGAGGUGCGAUUAUUGCUAGUUGAAAACUUUACCAAUACCCCGCCAUGAGGCUGUGAAAUACCAGCCGCUACGGCAAUUUUUGGGAGUCCCUAGCGGGA